AUGGGUUCUCCUCAGUUCUUUCCUUGUCCACACUGCACCAUCUCCUUUACUGACUGUUACUUCCUGGAGAACCACAUCAAGACCAAACACCAGAAGCAGUACCUGGCCAUGUUGAGAAGCCAAGUCUCAAAGAGUAAAAGAGUGUACGGCCCCACACACAGCUGUGCCCACUGUAGCUGCAUGUUCCAUACACCACGACAGCUAGACAUCCACACCCGCCAGGCCCACCCCUCUGCCCGUCCCCAGAAACCUGCCCCUCCCCGGAGAACUGGCCGUCCCCACAGGGUACAGGAGAAAUUCCACACCUGCCCACAGUGCUCCCGCAGAUUCAAGUACCUGGGCAGCCUGCUGAAGCACUGCAAGAGUUUGCACAAAAUGGCUGUUGUUCUCACCAAUGGACACAUCAGUUGCGCAGACUGUGAGAAGAGCUUUGAGAAUUGCUGGGGCCUGGGGCCUCACCGGUGUCACGAACCAGAGGGCAAUAAACCGAAGGACGCUAAACAGAUGGUCAUUAAGGAAGUCGGCUUCCAAUGCUUAGAUUGUGGCAAGAUCCUCACUACUCCUACGAGCCUGAACNNNNNNNNNNUGUCCACACUGCACCAUCUCCUUUACUGACUGUUACUUCCUGGAGAACCACAUCAAGACCAAAC
rnacentral:lncRNA from 13 species